AGAUUGAACGCUGGCGGCAGGCCUAACACAUGCAAGUCGAGCGGCAGCACGGGUACUUGUACCUGGUGGCGAGCGGCGGACGGGUGAGUAAUGCCUAGGAAUCUGCCUGAUAGUGGGGGAUAACGUUCGGAAACGGACGCUAAUACCGCAUACGUCCUACGGGAGAAAGUGGGGGAUCUUCAGACCUCACGCUAUCAGAUGAGCCUAGGUCGGAUUAGCUAGUUGGUAGGUAAAGGCCUACCAAGGCUACGAUCCGUAACUGGUCUGAGAGGAUGAUCAGUCACACUGGAACUGAGACACGGUCCAGACUCCGUACGGGAGCAGCAGGUGGGGAAUAGUUGGACAAGUGGGACGAAAGCCUA
rnacentral:rRNA from 1 species